rnacentral:tRNA from 1 species
GGGCCUGUAGCUCAGACGGCUAGAGCACACGCCUGAUAAGCGUGGGGUCGGCAGUUCGAUUCUGCCCAGGCCCACCA